rnacentral:miRNA from 1 species
CGGGUUUCGCCCCCGCGGCGU